rnacentral:rRNA from 1 species
UGCCAGCCGCCGCGGUAAGACAGAGGGUGCAAACGUUGCUCGGAAUUACUGGGCGUAAAGCGCGUGUAGGCGGGCUGGAAAGUCAGAUGUGAAAUCCCUGGGCUCAACCCAGGAACUGCAUUUGAAACUUCCAGCCUUGAGUACUGGAGAGGAGAGAGGAAUUCCUGGUGUAGAGGUGAAAUUCGUAGAUAUCAGGAGGAACACCGAUGGCGAAGGCAGCUUUCUGGACCGAUACUGACGCUGAGGCGCGAAGGCGUGGGUAGCGAACGGGAUUAGAUA